rnacentral:rRNA from 1 species
GACGAACGCUGGCGGCGUGCUUAACACAUGCAAGUCGAACGGAAAGGCCCUGCUUUUGUGGGGUGCUCGAGUGGCGAACGGGUGAGUAACACGUGAGUAACCUGCCCUUGACUUUGGGAUAACUUCAGGAAACUGGGGCUAAUACCGGAUAGGAGCUCCUGCUGCAUGGUGGGGGUUGGAAAGUUUCGGCGGUUGGGGAUGGACUCGCGGCUUAUCAGCUUGUUGGUGGGGUAGUGGCUUACUAAGGCUUUGACGGGUGGCCGGCCUGAGAGGGUGACCGGCCACAUUGGGACUGAGAUACGGCCCAGACUCCUACGGGAGGCAGCAGUGGGGAAUAUUGCACAAUGGGCGGAAGCCUGAUGCAGCAACGCCGCGUGCGGGAUGACGGCCUUCGGGUUGUAAACCGCUUUCGCCUGUGACGAAGCGUGAGUGACGGUAAUGGGUAAAGAAGCACCGGCUAACUACGUG